AUUGAACGCUGGCGGCAUGCUUUACACAUGCAAGUCGAACGGUAACAGGCCUUCGGGUGCUGACGAGUGGCGAACGGGUGAGUAAUGCAUCGGAACGUACCCAGAGGUGGGGGAUAACGCAGCGAAAGCUGUGCUAAUACCGCAUGUGAUCUGAGGAUGAAAGCGGGGGACCGAGCAGCAAUGUUUGGCCUCGCGCCUUUGGAGCGGCCGAUGUCGGAUUAGCUAGUUGGUGGGGUAAAGGCCUACCAAGGCGACGAUCCGUAGCUGGUCUGAGAGGACGACCAGCCACACUGGGACUGAGACACGGCCCAGACUCCUACGGGAGGCAGCAGUGGGGAAUUUUGGACAAUGGGCGCAAGCCUGAUCCAGCAAUGCCGCGUGCGGGAAGAAGGCCUUCGGGUUGUAAACCGCUUUUGGCGGGAACGAAACGGUGUCCGCUAAUACCGGGCGCUAAUGACGGUACCUGCAGUAUAAGCACCGGCUAACUACGUG
rnacentral:rRNA from 1 species